GGAGUCUGGGCCGUAUCUCAGUCCCAAUGUGGCCGAUCAACCUCUCAGUCCGGCUACUGAUCGAAGCCUAGGUGGGCCGUUACCCCGCCUACUAGCUAAUCAGACGCGAGCCCAUCUUUCAGCGAUAAAAUCUUUGGUCACAAGAGGAUGCCCCCUCGUGACAUCAUGCGGUAUUAGCAGUCGUUUCCAACUGUUGUCCCCCUCUGAAAGGCAGGUUGCUCACGCGUUACUCACCCGUUCGCCACUAAGCUGAAAAAUCAGAAAUCCGAAGAAAACGUCAAAAACAGCUCCGUUCGACUUGCAUGUGUUAGGCACGCCG
rnacentral:rRNA from 1 species